GCAUGGGUGGCUCAGUCGGUUGAGCGUCUGACUUCAACUCAGGUCAUGAUCUCAUGGUUUGUGGGUUCGAGCCCCGCAUCGGGCU
rnacentral:tRNA from 1 species